UACGUAGGGUGCAAGCGUUAAUCGGAAUUACUGGGCGUAAAGCGUGCGCAGGCGGUUCUGUAAGUCUGUCGUGAAAUCCCCGGGCUCAACCUGGGAAUUGCGAUGGAGACUGCAAGGCUAGAAUCUGGCAGAGGGGGGUAGAAUUCCACGUGUAGCAGUGAAAUGCGUAGAGAUGUGGGAGGAACACCGGAUGGCGCAAGGCAGCCCCCUGGGUCAAGAUUGACGCUCAUGCACGAAAGGCGUGGGG
rnacentral:rRNA from 1 species